UAUGGACUCAACGGCUCAACGUGCACGUCGCGGCAUUAAUUCGGUCUAUCGCUCGAACAAACACAUGUCGGAUUACUUGUCCCGCUCUGUUGGUGUUUACAAGUAUGUAUGUACCAAAGAAGAGAAGGAAAGAACCGAAGAAAGAGGAAGAUGAGGAUGAAGAAAAGGCUCCAAGGGAAGAAAGAGAAGAUGAAGAACACGAAUAAGAAAUAGAAGAAGAAGAAGAAGAAGAAGAAGAAGAAGAAGAAGAAGAAGAAGAAGAAGAAGAAGAGAAGUCGAACGAAAAAGGAAAGCGAAGAGAUCGAGACAAGUCUGUUCUUUCAUUAAUCAACGAUUAAGCCUCUGGCCUCGUCCUUUAUGAAUUAUUAUGAUACCACAUCUCACGACAUCGCCAUCAGUCACGACCUGUCGUGUAUCUCGCAUGCUUGAUUUAUCUUCGGAGCAUUAUCAUCUGGCACUUUGACAUUUUGUUUAAAUGGAUAAAAGUGGUUAAUGUCGUUUCUCCUUGAGAGGGAUGAAGCUUUGCGGCUGGAGGAUUGCGGAUAUAGCUACGAAGUUGGUAUAUGUAUGUAGUUACGUAUUAUAUGGGCUACGAUUUGCUUUCGAUCAAGAUUUAUUUUCUAGGAAGCAUCGAUCGCGUGUAACGAUUGCAUUUAUUUUAAACGGAAGUUUAUUUCCAUAAAUACAAUCAUUGCAUGCAGUCGUCGCAAUGCUCUAGAUAACAUGUAUGACUUUAUUUCUAUUCAUAUAUAUAAUCAUUGUAAAUAACAGUUUGUUACAAUGUCAUAUUUAUUUUUAAGAACACGUAUUUAUGUACAACGUUGCAUAUAGAAGGAAAAUAAUAAAUAGAAAAUUCCAUCCUUAAGAAAAAA